UACGUAGGCAGCAAGCGUUGUUCGGAGUUACUGGGCGUAAAGGGUGCGUAGGCGGCUUCUUAAGUCUGGUGUGAAAUCUCCCGGCUCAACUGGGAGGGUGCGCCGGAUACUGAGGGGCUAGAGUGUGGGAGAGGAAAGUGGAAUUCCUGGUGUAGCGGUGAAAUGCGUAGAUAUCAGGAGGAACACCGGUGGUGUAAACGGCUUUCUGGACCAUAACUGACGCUGAGGCACGAAAAGCGUGGGUAGCAAACAGG
rnacentral:rRNA from 1 species